UUGAAUAAACUUGGUUUAGGUUGCUGCUGGCUUUUUGGGAGCAUGUGCACGCCUCUUCCACUUUUAACCUCCUGUGCACUUUGUAUAGACCUGGAUAACUCUCGAGUGUCAACUCGGAUCUGGAGAACUGCUGUUGAAAACAAUCACCAGCUUUUCUUGUCUUUCAGGCCUAUAUUUCUCUUAUACACUCCAUAAGAAUGUAUCAGAAUGUUGUUCAGAGGCCCUGGUGCCUUUAAAAAUACAUA
rnacentral:misc_RNA from 1 species